AGUAGAGUAUUGGCUUUUUAA
rnacentral:tRNA from 1 species